rnacentral:rRNA from 1 species
CCUAACACAUGCAAGUCGCACGAGAACGGGUAGCAACAGACUGAGUAACGUGGCGCACGGGUGAGUAACACGUGAAUCAUCUACCUCCGAGUGGGGAAUAACUGAGAGAACUCUUAGCUAAUACCGCAUAAUAAAGAGGAGGGUCAACGCAGCAAUGCGCUUGGAGAGGAGUUCGCGGCCGAUUAGCUAGUUGGUGGGGUAAUGGCCAACCAAGGCGAUGAUCGGUAUCCGGCCUGAGAGGGCGCACGGACACACUGGAACUGAAACACGGUCCAGACUCCUACGGGAGGCAGCAGUGGGGAAUUUUGCGCAAUGGGGGAACCACUGACGCAGCAACGCCGCGUGGAGGAUGAACUCACGGGGGGAUGUAACCUCCUUUCGAUAGGGAAGAUUAUGACGGUACCUAUAGAAGAAGCCACGGCUAACUUCGUGCCAGCAGCCGCGGUAACAGAGAGGGGGGCAAGCGUUGUUCGGAAUUAUUGGGCGUAACGGGUGCGUAGGCGGUUUGGCAAGUCUGAUGUGAACUCUAUGGGCUCAACUCAAAGUCUGCAUCGGAACCUGCCGGGCUUGAGUAUGGGAGAGGUGAGUGGAAUUUCCGGUGUAGCGGUGAACUGCGUAGAUAUCGGAAGGAACACCUGUGGCGAACGCGGCUCACUGGACCAUAACUGACGCUGAUGCACGAACGCUAGGGGAGUAACCAGGAUUAGACA